AAAACGGAUAAAUCAAAUAUCACUAACUUCAUAAGGGUAAACAAUUAUCCUAUAAUUUAUUCAUUCAAAACAGUACUCCGUACAUAAUACAUGGAAACUUUCACAUAACAUACACAAACGAGAAAGCUAGCAUGUUACAUUGCAUGCCUUAUUAUUAUUACAUCUUAAUUAUAAACUAGUACUCCCUCGGUCCCAAGGGGUACGCUUGCUCCGCGGAUACAUGUUCGACUCGUUUUACUAGCAUCCUUUGCAAGGGGUACGUUGGCUCGGUGGAUCCUUGGAAUGCGGCGAUCUCUUGACAGGUGACGAUCUGUUGACAGGCGGGCUGCCACAUCCCACAAUUAUAGUUGCUCUAGGAUUAUUGCAACGACUUUCUUCAUCUGUAUUAAAUAAAUUAAAGCGAACACAGAUUAGUAAAGUAAUACUCCGACAUUCUUAUGAAAGCAAUUUCCAACACACAUAUAUAUAUAUAUAUAUAGAUAUAUAAAGAGAGAGAGAGAGAGAGAGAGAGAGAGAGAGAUAUCUCACCAAAAAAAUAAAUAAAAGCGAACCCGGAUUAGUAAAGUAAUACUUCGACAAUUCUAUAAACAAAAUUUCCAAUAUAUAUAUAGAGAGAUAUCUGACAUACCAGACAAUUGAUACAAUUGACGUGAAGCUAACGCUGCAUUUGAUGAAAUGUAGNNNNNNNNNNNNNNNNNNNNNNNNNNUAGAGGAGAAGAGUAAAAACAAUUCCAAAUAGGAUGAUAAAAUUCUUGGCAAGUGCCAUGAUAUGAAAGAAAAAUUAGAUAUGUUUAUGUGUUUGUUGGGUGUUUGAAUUGGAGUGAGAUUCAGCUCUAUUUAUAGCCGAGUUUCUAAAUUACUACCAAACUGUCAAGAAGGGUCCAUAUGCUGAGUUUCUUGGAAACUGUCAAGAAGGAAUGAUGUUGGUCUUCUUGGAAACUACCAAAUUAUUAGAUAUGAUGUUGGUCUUCUCCUAGUAGUCUUUGGCAACUUGUGUGUAGAAAAUGUAACAUUAGUAGUAAUUAUAAGAGGAAUGCAUUGACUUGUUUAACUUUGAAAAUGAAAAGAAGAAUUACUCCCAUAGUUGCAUAUGCACUCACAGUAUAGAAAGUUUUUUUUUGUUACAUUAUUGAAAGAUUUUUAAAGAGAAAGAUAAAACUCGGUAUAUUUACUUCGCAAACGAAAAGUUUUUUUUAAAACUCGAUAUCUUGUUCUACGACUGACUAAUUUGAGAGAUCAAUACCACUGUUCACUUGCAGAAACACCAUUUAAAGCUAUUUUUUUUUUACUCUGUAUGAACU
rnacentral:lncRNA from 1 species